rnacentral:rRNA from 1 species
UCAGCCGGUCUCGCGAAUGCCUCUAGGAUUUAAGUUUGAUCAUGGCUCAGANCGAACGCUGUACGGUAGGCCUAACACAUGCAAGUCGAACGGCAGCACAGGAGAGCUUGCUCUCUGGGUGGCGAGUGGCGGACGGGUGAGGAAUACAUCGGAAUCUACUCUGUCGUGGGGGAUAACGUAGGGAAACUUACGCUAAUACCGCAUACGACCUACGGGUGAAAGCAGGGGAUCUUCGGACCUUGCGCGAUUGAAUGAGCCGAUGUCGGAUUAGCUAGUUGGCGGGGUAAAGGCCCACCAAGGCGACGAUCCGUAGCUGGUCUGAGAGGAUGAUCAGCCACACUGGAACUGAGACACGGUCCAGACUCCUACGGGAGGCAGCAGUGGGGAAUAUUGGACAAUGGGCGCAAGCCUGAUCCAGCCAUACCGCGUGGGUGAAGA